rnacentral:rRNA from 1 species
AACACACCCACCAAAGGUUGUGAUGAGAUGGAAAGAGCAAUCUGAUGAACCAAUUAGUAACAUGAAUACAUGUGAGGAACAUGAUGUUUUAGAAAGUUAAAAUUGUCACAAUCUCUAACAAGAUCACAUGAGGCAAACUAGGUGUGCAAGCCACUCCCAUUACAUUGCUUUUUUCGUUAAAGUGUUCAAUGACUACGAAGGUUUUUUUUUUAGUGUGAUGUCACUUUUGGAACUCUGUCUCUCCCUUACCCCUCUACCCGGUUACCCUAUACCCCCUCACCCAUCCAACACGUGGACCCUAACCUUCUUUCCCCAUGGGGGUUGUGGCCAACCCAUGUAACUACUGGUGCUGUCCCCAAAACAUCAACACACCUCUGGUGGAGAGUGUCACAGCCCCCUGGCUAGAGUUGCACCAUGUCCAUGGGGCCGAGGGAGGUUGGCCACUGGCACACCCUGCUCCAGCAACCGUCCUGGCCCCUCUUGGGAGUCACCAGGGCAGUGACUGGGGACGGUUCUCCUGCCCCCAAUGGGACUGUUGACUGGGAUGGACUGUCCUCCAUGCACCCCGACCACAUUGCACCGCCAGGCGGGGAGGCCCACAAAAGGGGCCGGAGGUCUGUGGUGAUGUCAGUUGCCCACCCAACCUGUCUUGAAAUACAGACCCAGGAGUCUAUCACGUCCACGCAUCAGAAAGCCAAACAAAACCUGGUGGCAACGGCGGCUGAGGUGGAAUCCCUUUGCGCCGUACACACCACCAGCACCUCUCUGCCGCUCUGUUGGGAAGGUGGAGCAUGACAUGAGCGUAUGUGCUUUGACCCAAAAGAUGGUGAACCAUGCCUGGGCAGGGCAAAGCCAGAGGGAACUCUGGUGGAGGUCCGUAGGGACCUGUCAUGCAAAUCAGUCAUUUAUCUGGUGAGGCAAAUGAUUGGAGGCCUUGGGGCCAAAAGAAUCUCAACCUAUUUUCAGACUUUAUAUGGGUGAGGAGCCUGGCUUGCUGGAUUCAAGCUGGGCAUCAAAUGCCAGUGCCCACUGUGCCCCUUUUGGUAUGCAGAACUGGUGCUGCAGUUUGAGCCGAACGCCAGGUUAAGGUGCACAAUGUUGAUGCUUAUCAAGCCCCAGAAAUGGUGUUGGUUGAUAUAGAUAGCAGAAUGUUCGCCAUGAAAGUCAGAAUUUGCUAAGGAGUGUGCAACAACUCACCUGCUAAAUCAACUAGCCCUUGCAAUGGAUGGCGCUGGAGCAUCAGGCCCAGUCUCGGGAGGAUAGCUCAGGGACAAUGUGCUCGCCUUGGAAGCAAGAGGACACAGAGCACCACGGGUUCGAUCCCCGGGUCUGCGCUUAAAAACCUCUGGGUAUUAAGCACAGUAUAAAUAACCUAUCAUAUCAUAUCAUACCCAGCUGCUGCCAGCAGUGAGAGCCGGAGGGGCUAAGCCACAACGAGUAGGACGGCUGCUGCAGUGUGCACGGUUGCCCGAUGCUAGUGUCUGGUGGAGCCGCUGCAGGUGCAGAUCUUGUUGGUAGUAGCAAAUAUUCCAACAGGAACUUUGAAGGCUAUAGUGGAGGAGGGCACCAUGUGAACAGCUGAUGAACAUGGGUCAGUCGUUCCUAAGAGAUGGGUGAGCACCGUUCAGAAGGUCCUGCGUUGCCCUUAGCCGAUUGAAAGGGAGUCUGGUUCAGAUCAGCACCCUCGCUGUCUCCAUUGCAGUCAUGCAAAUGUUCCCCAAGAAUCUUCCAUGCACCUUGGGGAGUGUUCUAUUUUCUUUGUGAGGGGCAGGGCACCUUGGAAUGGGAUAGGAGCAUGAGACUUGGAAAGCAUCAUGGUUUGGGUGGUGCAUGGUGAGAACUGCCUGGUCCUUGUUAAUCCAGGGGAGAUGGUGUAAAUCUUGCACAGGCCCAUACACAUAUCGGAAGCAGGGCUCCAAGGUUUACUGCCUCUGGCAUGUUGAACAAUGAAGUUAAGGGAAGUCAGUAAGUCAGGCUGGUGCACAUAGUGUGGUUGGCCAGGCACCACAGCUGGAUGAGGCAUCUCCACCCCUAGGGGCCCCACAAACUCUGGACGACGUGAGCCGGGCCCUUCCUGUGAAUCGCCCCAGCUGAUUUAGAACUGGUGUUGACCAGGGCAAUCCAACAGUUUAAUUGAAACAAGGCAUCACAAAGCCCCGGGGUUGGUUAUGUUUGCCCAGUGCACUGCUCUGAAUGUCAAAUAGAAGAAAUUAAUUGAAGCACUGGUAAACAGUGGGAGUGACUUUCACUCUCUUAAGGUGGCCAAAUGCUACGUCAUCUCAUUGGAGACACUCAUUAAUGAAUGAACAGGAUUCCCACUGUCCCUUCGUACUAUUUAGUAAACCAAAGCCAAGGGAAUAGGCUUGGCCGAAUUAGCGGGUAUAGGAGGCUCUGUUGAGCUUGACUCUAGUCUGGCACUGAGAGGAGACAUGAGAGGUGAAUGAUAGGUGGGAGGCCCUCCGACCAGUAGUGAAACACCACUACUGUUAUAAUUUUUUCACUUUCCCAGUUAGGUGGGGCGGGGAGAUGUCACUUCUGGCUCCAAGCACCCAGCUCUAGCCAGGCACGUCCUGCUCCAGGGACAUUGGCUCGUGGGGAGCUUGAUUGGGCCAGUACACCUGUUUUACGAUAAUGCAGGUGUCCUAAAGCAAGCUCAGGGAGGAGAGAAAUAUACUGUAGAGACAAAACGCAGAAGCUUGCUGGAUCUCGAUUUCACAUAUGAAGACAGACCUUGUAAGCAGGGCCUCAUGAUCAUUCUGACUUUUUGUGUUUCCAGCAGGAGGUGUCAGAAAUUGACCACAUGAAUAACUGUCUUGUGCCGCAAAGCAUUCAUAGAGACUACACAUUUUGAUCCUUGCAUGCUGGCUUUUCCUAUCGUUGUGAAACAGAAUUCAGCAAACGUUAGAUUGUUAACCCACUAAUGGGAACGUGAACUGGUUUCAGACCGUUGUGUGACAGGUUAGUUUUACCCUACUGAUGAUGUGUUGUUGCAAUAGUAAUCCUGGCCUGUAUGAGAAGAACCACAUUUUCAGACAUUUGGUGUAUGUGCUUGGAUGAGGAGCAAAUGGGGUGAAGCUGGCAUCUGUGGCAUUAUGACUGAAUGCCUCUAAGUAAGAAUCCCUCCUAAACUGUAAUGGUAAUGCAGCACUGUGGAGUCUCGGUUGGCCUAGGAUAACCAUCCUCUGGGCCAGUGAAUAGAGCUGCUUGCCUCAGGACUAGAGUGUGUAAAGAAGGGGCCAACUUCUCUCGCCCUUAGUGCACCAAGU